GUUUUUUCCACGUCUGAGUCAUACGUACAUGACUGGAAAUUUGAAAUGCAAAUGGUGCUAUUUCAUUUAAUUUUUUAUUCUGGCAGGAUUUUUGCCGCACAGACUUUGAAAACUAAAUGGGAGAAUGGAGAUUGAAUUUUCAUUUUAUAAUUUUUAUUUUAUUUUUUGCAGAAAAUACCUCCCAUACUUAACAAUCUCUUUAAGAGAUUAUUCGGGAAACAGUCGUAUGAAAAGAAAUAUGCCUUUCGUAAGAUAUGUCUUUAGAGUCUUCGUAAGACGCUAAGAGUCACCGUUACCGGGAAACCCACCGCAGAUUGUUGGAUCCGGAUUAACGGAAAUGUUACGGAGAGCCCAGUACUAUAUAUGACAACUGACAAAUGAUGUUUUACCACCAACUUUAAUUAUACAUACAUGUUAUUGUACGGGUAGCGUAAUGUAAUGAAUCACUGUGGUGCUUUCGACUACUGGGGAAAAGGCACCAAAGUCGCUGUCACCAGAGAUUCCCUCAAAGGACCAGACUUCCUCUAUGCUCUGCAGCCAUGUAAUCCCAGCGGCUCUGCAGGUCUUAUCAGCCUCGGCUGUGUCGCAGGCGGCUUCUCACCAGUGGAUUCUGUGAGCUUUAGCUGGCAGGGCAGCAGCGGUAACCAGCUGUCUGACAUUUAUCAGUACUCAGCGGUCAAGAACAAUGGAGUCAGCAUGGUGGUCAGUGAGAUCCGCGUCAAUGUGGCAGACUGGGGUGGACAAACUCAUUAUGAAUGUACUGCACGACACCAAUCCCUUAAAACACAGCUAUCUGGGAGAAUAAAGAAGCCAGUUUCAACAGCAUCCCCAACCGUGAGUCUCAUGACUCUGCCCAGUGGGGAGAGCCGUGUAGAUGCUCUAAUGUGUGUCAUUCAGGACUUCCACCCCAAGAGCGUCACUGUGACAUGGAAAGCUGGGUACAGAACUGUCUCAGGACAGACCUGGCAGUCAGAGAAAGGACAGACAGGACUGUACUCAGCCAGCAGUUUGCUGAAACUGGACAGCAGCGUCUGGGAGAGUAACACUAUGUACACAUGUGAGGUGCAGCACGGUGCUAAUAAAAUCACUAAGACCAUCAGUAAAGGUGAGUGAGCUCACAGCACACAGAUACUGUUAGUGAGCAUCUGAUCUCACAACAACAUCAGCAGACUCAUUCAUAAAUAAUAGGCCAACAUUUCCAUCUUUAUUCUAGUUAAUUUAAUUAUUCCCUCAGCUGCCUGGAUGAGAUGCAAGCUGGUCACAGGGGGUCAGUACACACUAAUAUACACUGAGGGCUAUUUAGAGACACCACUACACCCAACCUCAUGUGUCUGAUUGUGAGAGAAAACACGAGUACCCAGUGGAAACCCAUGCGGACACGGGCAAAGCAUGAC